AUGUCAAAUCCUGGAGAGAGCAAGAAGGGCAGACUGGCCGAGGAGAACGUCAUUGGCGCCCUUCAGGUGAGAGUGCGAACAGUCCUGGAUUUGAAAGGAGAGCCACGUACUGGAAGAAAUGCAAAGGAGAUGGGUUGGAGGGAGUUAACACCGACAGUGGAGGUGCUCUACACACCACAAGCCCUGUACACGAACAUUGACAAAAUUCCUUUGCUGGUGUCCUCUUCCCCUUAUAAGGACCAUCUGUAUGCUGUUCAUAAAAUUAACUGAACACCUUUGAGGACCUAGAAAAUGAUAUGGACACUCCUGAGAAAAUGCUCAUUUGCCAAAAAUAUUGUGGUUGGAUAUCCUCUGAAUCCUAUCCUUUUUAAAAAUCUCGAAUCUAGAGGAUUGUGGUAAGGGGAUUGAGAUAAGAUCUAAGUCAUAUCUCAAGUAUUUAACAGUUUUAAAAGAAAUCAUGGAUUCAUUUCACAGAAAAUAAAGAGUUUUAAAAAUUAGUAUGAAUUGUUGCGAAUUAUUCCUUACUGAUGGAAGCACAUAAUGCAAGAGGUUUAAAGUGGUUAUAAAGGAUGACAAGAAAAGAUUUAAUGUAGUUGCUAUUGCUUAAGGACAGAUGCAAAAUAUUUUGUUUAGUGAUAAAAUACAGUACAUUUGCAUUAGAAAUUUUAUCAUUCUGAAUUCUUAAGCAGAUGUAUGUGAAAUCUUCAUUUAGGUAAAGUACCCAUUUUUAAUGCUUUCGUAACAGUUGUAUUUGCGCUACAUGACAAUUUUAUUAUUCCUGCUUUCUUUCCUAUUUCUUGCUUCUUUGCUCAGUGUCUAGUUAACACUUAAAUCCCACUAGACUUCAGCGUCUGCUGAUGCUAGGCAGCCCUCUGCCUGAAGAAUAAGACUAAAUAAUAGGGAAGAGAACAAAUAAGCUUCAUUUGUCAGUGCUCACUGGUCUUCAUUAAUCCUCUGGGCCACACUCUAUGUCUCCACAGUUAAUUGUGCUGUUUUCUUGGAUGUUUGAAAACAAUCUUUAAUCAAAACUAUCCCAAGACAUCUUUGGGAACAGCCAUUCACAAUUGGAUGAAGAUAAUAUGCCGGACAUUGGGUGCUAUGUAAAUCUGAAUACCAGUUAGAGAAAAACAAACAAAUUUGUUCAAGAACAGCAACAGAAACUCAAGGGAAAUUGCUUACUGCUCUUGGCAUUAGCAAUGUUUACAACCAAUGGUGCCUUGAGUUCAGGGACCAUAUCGACUAAGAAGCAUUAAAAUUCCAAGCAGUCAGCCCUGGACAUGCUUGGAAGGACUCAGGACCUUUCUUCAACAGGGUAAGAUGUGGAUUCAACUUGAGGUCCCUGAUCUCAGUAAUAUCAGCUGACAAAUAAGUACCUUAUAAGUAUUUAAUAGAAUUGUUAUUCCCUCUGCAUUUUUGUUCAAUUUAACAGAAGAAAGAACUAAUAAAUAGGUAGUACCUCUCUAUUGAAGUGUUUAAAUAAGAUUUAUUCAAC
rnacentral:lncRNA from 1 species